UACGUAGGGGGCAAGCGUUGUCCGGAUUUAUUGGGCGUAAAGGGCGCGUAGGCGGCUUGCCAAGUCAGGGGUGAAAUCUUUCGGCUCAACCGGAAAACAGCUUCUGAUACUGGCGGGCUGGAGGGAGGUAGGGGCAGAUGGAACUUCCGGUGGAGCGGUGAAAUGCGUAGAUAUCGGAAGGAACACCGGUGGCGAAAGCGGCGCGCUGGACCUCUACUGACGCUGAGGCGCGAAAGCGUGGGGAGCGAACAGG
rnacentral:rRNA from 1 species